rnacentral:misc_RNA from 1 species
UGCGGGCGCUUCCGUGCUAGCCUCUCCUUCCGCUCGCCCUGCACCAUGAAGCGCUUGCAGCCGGUGUGCCCGGCGGCGGUGGUGCCGGGCUGCGGGGCAGCGAUGCAGUACAGUCGUCGCUGGAAUCUGCUGGAGCACCGUACGAAGGGGUCCCCGUACAUGAAGCACCUCGACCUCUACGCCCGCCGCGACCCCCAGCUUGCCCCAUAUCUGCUGAGGGAGGUGGACAUCGAGUACAAGCGCAAAUGCCGCAAAGUCUCUUUCCUAGUGUGGGUCGUCGUCUUCACCGUGGCCGUUGCGUGGCAGACCCGAAUGCAGGGGGAGACGCUGCACUACAUGCGCUUGUACGCUUCCUACGUCCGCGCCGAGCAGGAUGCGAGGGACGAAGACAACAUCAAGCGACGCAAGGCGUUCGUGGGCGUCAUGAACGUUGUGAAGGACGCCUUUGACCGCGAUCAACGCUGGACCGCCGCUGAUGAGGCGAAGGCGCUAAAGGAGCUGCGGUGAAGGAGCUGCAGGUGUGUCUGUGUGCCGGCCUUCACAGUUCGUCCCCCUUUUUUCCUGUUCUAAAUCCAGUCGCGAAU